AUUUAAAUAGCUUAUAAUUAGAGUAUAGCAUUGAAGAUGCUAGGGAGAUUAUUAAAAUCUUUAAAUA
rnacentral:tRNA from 1 species